UCUCGUAUGAUUACGCUCAGUACUAGUUAUUCUCUAACAAUUACCCACACUCGUCACUCAGUAUCUCUAUACUAUAAAUCAGAGACUCAUCUACCCCGAAGGAAGCGAUCUAUGUGUCGGUCUAUCCAGAUCGAUCAUCAUCCUCAUGAUGAUACUGUGACUGAGAGUAUUUAAAAAUUAAUUAUAUAUGCCUGUAAUUCUCAACACCUUGAAAAUAUGUAUCAAAGUAUUAAUUCCAUAGAUGAUUCAAAGAUACAUCACAC
rnacentral:lncRNA from 1 species